GCUGGGCAUGGUGGCGGGUACCUGUAAUCCCAGCUACUCGGGAAGCUGAGGCAGGAGAAUCACUUGAACCCAGGAGGUGGAGGUUGCAGUGAACCAGGAUUGCGCCACUUAACUCCAGCCUGGGUGACAGAGUGAGACUCUGUCUCAA
rnacentral:sRNA from 1 species